UACGGGGGGGCGAGCGUUGUUCGGAAUUACUGGGCGUAAAGGGCGCGUAGGCGGUUCGCUAAGUUGGAUGUGAAAACUCUGGGCUCAACCCAGAGCCUGCAUCCAAAACUGGCGGGCUAGAGUUCUGGAGGGGGUAGCGGAAUUCCUGGUGUAGCGGUGAAAAUGCGUAGAUAUCGGAAGGAACACCAGUGGCGAAAGCGGCUUCCUGGUCCAGCACCGACGUCAGGCACGAAAGCGUGGGGAGCAAACAGG
rnacentral:rRNA from 1 species